UACGUAGGGGGGCUAGCGUUGUCCGGAAUCAUUGGGCGUAAAGCGCGCGUAGGCGGCCCGGUAAGUCCGCUGUGAAAGUCAAAGGCUCAACCUUUGAAUGUCAGCGGAUACUGCCGGGCUAGAGUCCGGAAGAGGCGAGUGGAAUUCCUGGUGUAGCGGUGGAAUGCGCAGAUAUCGGGAGGAACACCAAUGGCGAAGGCAGCUUGCUGGGACGGUACUGACGCUGAGGCGCGAAAGCGUGGGGAGCAAACAGG
rnacentral:rRNA from 1 species